rnacentral:rRNA from 1 species
CUAAUACACGUUUGAGGUCUUUUGACCGCGUUUAUUAGUUUGAAACCCGCCUUGGCUUUCGGUGAUUCAUAAUAAACUGGCGAAUCGCAUUUAGCGAUGGACCAUUCAAGUUUCUGACCCAUCAGCUUGACGGUAGGGUAUUGGCCUACCGAGGCAGCAACGGGUAACGGGGAAUUAGGGUUCGAUUCCGGAGAGGGAGCCUGAGAGACGGCUACCACAUCUAAGGAAGGCAGCAGGCGUGCAAAUUACCCAAUCCUGACACAGGGAGGUAGUGACAAGAAAUAACAAUACAGGGCGAAUGUCUUGUAAUUGGAAUGAUGGUGACCCAAACCCUCACCAGAGUAGCAAUUGGAGGGCAAGUCUGGUGCCAGCAGCCGCGGUAAUUCCAGCUCCAAUAGCGUAUAUUAAACUUGUUGCAGUUAAAAAGCUCGUAGUUGUAUUUUUGCGUUAGCGGUUUGACCAUUUGGUUGGUUAUUUCGUUUUCGCUUUUGGGAAUUUCCCUUUUUACUUUGAGAAAAUUAGAGUGUUUCAAGCAGACUUUUGUCUUGAAUACUUCAACAUGGAAUAAUAGAGUAGGACUUUGGUUCUAUUUUGUUGGUUAUUGAACCUUAGUAAUGGUUAAUAGGAACGGUUGGGGGCAUUCGUAUUUAACUGUCAGAGGUGAAAUUCUUAGAUUUGUUAAAGACGAACUACUGCGAAAGCAUUUGCCAAGGACGUUUCCAUUAAUCAAGGACGAAAGUUAGGGGAUCGAAGACGAUCAGAUACC